AGCUGCUUCGAGAAAAUGUCAAUUGUUAAGAGCGCUAUUCAGAUGUUUACAAAUGAUAACAAACUCUGGUGGUUGUUCAGUUCUGUACUGAAGAGUGCGUAUUAGGCAAGGAAAUUUCAACAGGUUUCACAUCACAUCAUGAUGCAACCUCAUACAUACAUACAGUACAAACUUAAUUCCAAAGUGUUUUCCUGUACUUUUUUUAAACUGAAACAGGAUACAACUGAGUAGUAUGCAAACAAAAGGACGCUCAUUGGAAAGACAGUGGAACUAUGAAAGGAUUUUAUCUUUACAGCCUUUCAAUCAAUAGCCUGAAUGGCUUAAUCACCAAGCUCACAAUGUCUUGCUCUUUCCUGAGGUGAUCACUAGCAGUCUUGAGAGAGACACAUUUCAGUUUGGCUUCCUGCAUGAGCUCAUGAGGUGGUGUCUAAACUGUGUUAGCACAAACAAAAACCAAGCAACUACUGUAUUGUGGAGGCUAUGAGGAUGUAAAGGACUUGGGAUGGAUAUGUGAUGAAAGAGCAGGAGCAUCCAAUCUUCUCCACAAUUGGCCGGUGUGAAUGCAGGUCUGCAUUUUAAUCAAGAAUGAGCCCCACCUGAUUCUACCUGUUUAAUCAGCUGGUCAUGGUUCUCACUAGAAUCAGGUGUGGCCUCUGUUUGGUUGGAAUGAAAACCUGCGCCCACACCGGCCCUUUGCGGAUACACUUGGACGUCCCUAGGAUAGAGGGUCUGCAUGUUAGCUGGCCACACUAGCAGCACAUAUAUGAAGGUCACAUAGAAGUGGUGAUGUGAAUAAUACAAAUAUGGUGGACAUGUAUGAGAUGAGAAGAGAAAAGGGAAAUAUUUGGUCCUUUUGCAGUAAAGUGUUGCCAAAUGUGCUUACUGUCAAUAUCACAUACGUAUAUACAGUGCUGCAUAGCUGCUCUGUAUCCUGCAAGAAAAUAAGAUGAGAUGACUUAUCAUCUGUUGUCAUAUUGCAAAGGUUUGCUAAAAAACAGGAAAGGUACUGUACUGCUCAAAAAUACCAUUGCAGAUAUAAAUCACGGUGCUAAUGAAUGACCCGGGUGUUCAGAUUUAGUUAUAUGCAGGACGCCUGUGUCUAAUUUUAGUACAAAGUAAACACUACUCUUGGUGGGAUUCCAAAAUGAUAGCAACUAAAUAAGUGUUAUUUUUGCAUCUUGUUUUAAUAUGUUGUAUUUAAAUUCUGAAAAGUGUGAUCAUUAGGGAGAUAAGGCACUUAAAAGAAGAUUUACUUAAAAUAGAAUUGCUUCUAAUGAAUAAAUUUAAGUUGUAAAUUUUUUUUUUCUACUUUUUUCUGGCACACUGGGAAUUCAACAGGAUCUCUCUC